rnacentral:rRNA from 1 species
AUUGAACGCUGGCGGCAGGCCUAACACAUGCAAGUCGAGCGGAAGAAGGGUGCUUGCUCCUGGAUUCAGCGGCGGACGGGUGAGUAAUGCCUAGGAAUCUGCCUGGUAGUGGGGGAUAACGUCCGGAAACGGGCGCUAAUACCGCAUACGUCCUGAGGGAGAAAGUUGGGGAUCUUCGGACCUCACGCUAUCAGAUGAGCCUAGGUCGGAUUAGCUAGUUGGUGGGGUAAAGGCCUACCUAGGCGACGAUCCGUAACUGGUCUGAGGGGAUGAUCAGUCACACUAGAACUGAGACACGUGCCAGACUCCUAAGAGAGGCAGCAGUGGGGAAUAGUGGACACUGGGCGGAAGCCUGGUACAACGAAGCCGCGUGUGUGAAGAAGAUCUUCGGAUUGGAAAGCACUUUAAGUUGGGAGAAAGGGCAGUAAGUUGAUACCAUGCUGUUUUGACGGUAACAGCAGAAUAAGCACCGGCUAACUUCGUG